rnacentral:rRNA from 1 species
ACCUGCGGAAGGAUCAUUACCGAUCACGUUCUAACACCAGAACACCGUGAACCGUAUGGAGAGUUGGGGGUCGCCCCGUCGAGGGCGUCAAACGAUGAGAGCGCCCUUUUCCCGAACGGGUAGGGGUUGAUUCUCACGGCCCCCACGUUUAAUUUUUUUACACACCAAAACACCUUCAAUGCAGAAAACCUGUCCGCUCAUACCGGACAAAAAAAUUAAAAGUUCAUAACUUUUAACGGUGGAUCUCUUGGCUCGUGCAUCGAUGAAGAACGCAGCCAGGUGCGAUAAGUAGUGUGAAUUGCAGAAUUCAGUGAAUCAUCGAAUCUUUGAACGCAAAUUGCGCUCUUGGGUUUUCCCAGGAGCACGUCUGUCUGAGUGUCGGUUUCAAAAACCAGCGCACGCUCGCGUGCGGUCUUGAGGAGUCGCGGCCUCUGUUCGCACAGGCCUCGUCCCUUGAAAUGGAGCACGACCGAUCAGCGCGGCAGCCGUCGCCACAUCGGGAAGGCCAAAAGCUUAUUUGCCCUUUCCCGAGGCGUCGACCUGCCUGCCGAUACGGCCGGAGUUCGGCUGACAGACGACUCGUUCGUCCGUCUUCCAUUCUUGACCUCAGAUCAGGCGAGAUUACCCGCUGAAUUUAAGCAUAUUAAUAAGCGGAGGAAAAGAAACUAACAAGGAUUCC